UACGUAGGGGCAAGCGUUAUCCGGAUUUACUGGGUGUAAAGGGAGCGCAGACGGCAGCGCAAGUCUGAAGUGAAAACCCGAGGCUCAACCACGGGAUUGCUUUGGAAACUGUGCGGCUGGAGUGUCGGAGGGGUAAGCGGAAUUCCUGGUGUAGCGGUGAAAUGCGUAGAUAUCAGGAGGAACACCGGUGGCGAAGGCGGCUUACUGGACGAUCACUGACGUUGAGGCUCGAAAGCGUGGGGAGCAAACAGGAUUAGAUACCCUGGUAGUCCCU
rnacentral:rRNA from 1 species